rnacentral:rRNA from 1 species
GCCUGUUUAACAAAAACAUGGCUUUAUGUAUUUAUAUAAAGUCUAACCUGCCCACUGAAAAUUUUUAAAGGGCCGCAGUAUCUUAACUGUGCAAAGGUAGCAUAAUCACUUGUCUUUUAAUUGAAGGCUUGAAUGAACGGUAGAACGAGAAAUAAUCUGUCUCUUUUAAAAAAAUUGAAUUUUACUUUUAAAUGAAAAGGUUUAAAUAAAUUAAAAAGACGAUAAGACCCUAUAAAUCUUUAUAUUAAUAAUUAUUUUUUUUAAUUAUAAAUAAAUAAAAAAUAAUAAUUAUAAUAUUUUAUUGGGGAGAUAUAAAUAUAAUUUUUAACUAUUUUAUUUUUAUAACAAUAAUAUUUGAUUUAUUAUAAUGAUCCUUUUUAAAGAUUACAAAAUCAAGUUACUUUAGGGAUAACAGCGUUAUCUUUUUUAAGAGUCCAUAUCGAAAAAAAAGUUUGCGACCUCGAUGUUGAAUUAAAAGAAUCCACAUAAACGCAAAAGUUAUAAAGGAAAGUCUGUUCGACUUUUAAAAUUUUACAUGAUUUGAG